UUGUUUACCCAUUUACCCCAUUUGCUUCGUUUUAAGCCAAAGAAGAAAGAGAGAGUUCUCUGGAACUCUCUCAACUCUCUUCGACGAAAGGAGAACGGCCACGGUGGCCGGAGAAUCCCACGGAGAGACCGGCGGUGGUGCACGGCGGUCGGAGAAGAGAAAUCGACUCCAAACGAUUCCCCUUCUCACCCCAAAGCCGAAAACCACCCUUACUCGACCUAAAAACAAUCCCACAAGCCCAGAUCUAUGAAAUACCUCUCGAAAAUAACCAACGAGCCGGCGACCUUAGGGCUUCCCGAAGCUCCUCCGACUAAGGUAUCCCCUUUCUCACUAUCUCUUUCUUUUUCUCCCUCUUUUUCUUUGUUUUCCCCUUUUUUAAUCUCUCUCCCGUUUUUAAGACACCCCAAUCCCCUCUCUGUAUUUCUUUUUUUCUGUUCGAGACUCCUUCCCCCACAUCUCCAAAAUUCCCUCGAAAAUAUAGUGCUCUCCCUCUUUUCUGUUGGAAUUCGGUCUCUUUCUUGGUGCAGAUUAUGGGCCUGAAUGUGGGUGGCCGACAGGUAUGGGAAACAAUGUAUGGGAGCUGGUGAAGGCAUGGGUGAGCUUGGUGGAGGAUGAUAGUGGGAGGCAACUUCACGUGGGGCAUGGGUGAGUGGAAGGGAACAUCAAGACUUGCAACUUGGCUAUUAGUAAGAAUGUAAUUGACCUGAAGCUCACGUGCUGCGACUUUUUCUCGCACAAAGUGAAGAUCUAGUUCAAUGUGUUUACUCUAAGCAUGCAAAAUAGGAUUUGCAGCCAUAGCAACUGCAUUGGUGUUGUCACACCAAACCUUUGGUACGUCCGGCAAGGGAACUGCCAUCUCAUGUAGCACAGCUUUCACCCACAUUACCUUAGAAGUUACAUCAGCCGGACUUCUGUAUGCGGCUUCUGCAGUUGAUCGAGACACUGCACGUUUUUUCGAGCUCCACGAAAGUAGAUGACCCCCAUUAUAGACACAGUAUCCAGAGACUGACCUUCUGUCAUCAACAUCUCCUCCCUAAUCCGAGUUAGAAAAAGCGUUGAGAGCCAAUGUUUUCUGCACUUGAGAAGAGAACCAAAGACCAGCUUCUAAAGAUCCUCGUAAAUACCUUAAGAUCUGUUAGACAACCAACCAAUGUACUUGUAUGGGUUCUUGUAGAAAUUAAGCAGUCUUAUUGACCGCAAUUGAGAUAUCUGACCGAGUGUGACAAAUAUAUUGAAGGGCUCCUACCACACUCUGAUACUGACGUGGUUCAUGUAGCAGCUUCCCAUCGUGCCUGUUAAGCCAUAGGAGCGGUAGCAGGGUUUACAUCAAACAUUUGGUUCUUUUGUAACAGUUCAGUGAUAAACUUUUUUUGGCUAGGAAGUAAUCCACGCUCAAACCUAUGGACCUUUAUGCCAAGAAAAAAUUUGAGCUGUCCAAGAUCCUUUCGAGGAAAAAAUUUCAUUGAACUUACGAAUGAUUCGAUCUGCA